rnacentral:ncRNA from 1 species
UCCCUGGUUGAUCCUGCCAGUAGUUAUAUGCUUGUCUCAAAGAUUAAGCCAUGCAUGUCUCAGUGCAAGCCGUAUUAAGGCGAUACCGCGAAUGGCUCAAUAUAUCAGUUUUGGGUCCUUAGAUCUUACUCAGUUACUUGGAUAACUGUGGUAAUUCUAGAGCUAAUACAUUG